rnacentral:rRNA from 1 species
AAAAAUCCGCGCAACGUGAGCCUGAGACACGAUGACGAGUGAAAAAUAGUAACGAAGUCCUUGAUCCUCCGCUGCCAAGAAAAGCUGCUAAGGAAUAUAGAGGUGCCCGUACCGCAAACCGACACAGGUAGACAGGUAGAGAAUACUAAGGCGCGCGAGAUAACUUUUGUUAAGGAACUCUGCAAAAUGAACCCGUAACUUCGGGAGAAGGGUUGCUCUCUAGCGUGAGUAUGAGCAAUACGGAGCGCAGGAGAGUCGCAGUGAAAAGGUCCAGGCGACUGUUUAGCAAAAACACAGGUCAUUGCAAAAUCGCAAGAUGAAGUAUAAUGGCUGACGCCUGCCCGGUGCUGGAAGGUUAAGGGGAAGAGUGCAAGCUUUGAACCGAAGCCCCAGUAAAACGGCGGCCGUAACAUUAACGGUCCUAAGGUAGCGAAAUUCCUUGUCGGGUAAGUUCCGACCCGCACGAAAGGCGAAACGAUCUGGACGCUGUCUCAACAAGGGACUCGGUGAAAUUGAAAUUCCGGUAAAGAUGCCGGAUACCUGCGAUAGGACAGAAAGACCCCAUGGAGCUUUACUGUAGCCUGAUAUUGGGUUUCGGAUAUUCAUGUACAGGAUAGGUGGGAGACUAAGAAGCAUGGACGCCAGUUUGUGCGGAGUCACUGGUGGGAUACCACCCUUAAAUGUUUGGAAUUCUAACAAGGAGUCUUGAAGCAGAUUAUUGGACAGUGUCAGGUGGGCAGUUUGACUGGGGCGGUCGCCUCCCAAAAGGUAACGGAGGCGCUCAAAGGUUCCCUCAGAACGGAUGGAGAUCGUUCGCAGAGUGCAAAGGCAGAAGGGAGCUUGACUGCGAGAGCCACAACUCGAGCAGAUAGGAAACUAGGACUUAGUGAUCCGGCGGUCGCGAGUGGAAGUGCCGUCGCUCAACGGAUAAAAGCUACCCUGGGGAUAACAGGCUUAUCUCCCCCAAGAGCUCACAUCGACGGGGAGGUUUGGCACCUCGAUGUCGGCUCAUCGCAUCCUGGGGCUGAAGUAGGUCCCAAGGGUUGGGCUGUUCGCCCAUUAAAGCGGUACGCGAGCUGGGUUCAGAACGUCGUGAGACAGUUCGGUCCCUAUCCAUCGCGGGCGUAGGAAAUUUGAAGGGAGCUGACCCUAGUACGAGAGAACCGGGUUGGACAGACCGCUGGUGAACCAGUUGUUCUGCCAAGAGCAUAGCUGGGUAGCUAAGUCUGGAAAAGAUAAACGCUGAAAGCAUCUAAGCGUGAAGCGAACCUUAAGAUGAGAUUUCCCACAACGAAAGUUGAUAAGACACCAGAGAGAAUAACUGGUAGAUAGGUCAGGAGUGUAAGUGUGGUGACACAUUGAGCGGACUGAUACUAAUAAGUCGAAGACUUAGCCAA